UACGUAGGGGGCAAGCGUUAUCCGGAUUUACUGGGUGUAAAGGGAGCGUAGACGGCGAUGCAAGCCAGACGUGAAAGCCCGGGGCUCAACCCCGGGACUGCAUUUGGAACUGUAUAGCUAGAGUGUCGGAGAGGCAGGCGGAACUCCUAGAGUAGCGGUGAAAUGCGUAGAUAUUAGGAGGAACACCAGUGGCGAAGGCGGCCUGCUGGACGAUGACUGACGUUGAGGCUCGAAAGCGUGGGGAGCAAACAGG
rnacentral:rRNA from 1 species